GUGCCCCCUUCAGCGGGACAUGUGGUGGCACAUGUACUAAAAUUGGAAUGAUACAGAGAUUAGCAUGGCCCCUGCGCAAGGAUGACUCGCAAAUUCGUGGACUGUAUGUCCCCUGA
rnacentral:snRNA from 1 species